rnacentral:rRNA from 1 species
UACGUAGGGGGCAAGCGUUGUCCGGAUUUAUUGGGCGUAAAGAGCGUGUAGGCGGCUUUACAGGUCCGUUGUGAAAACUCGAGGCUCAACCUCGAGACGCCGGUGGAAACCGUAAGGCUAGAGUCCGGAAGGGGAGAGUGGAAUUCCUGGUGUAGCGGUGAAAUGCGCAGAUAUCAGGAAGAACACCCGUGGCGAAGGCGGCUCUCUGGGACGGUACUGACGCUGAGACGCGAAAGCGUGGGGAGCGAACAGG